UAGGAAAAGUUUAUUACAUUGCUAACUAUAUCAGAUUUCAAGUAUAUAAACUCGUAAUAAAAGCGCUAAAUUUCAAUAAUGAAAUAACAUACCAGGUGUUGUUUUUAAAAACCCAACGCGGGUUACUUUAGUAACAUCAGAAAACAGAAGAAUCGCAAAAUAGUCAUAUCUCAAUUACUCAUCCGUCUUUGCUUAUUCAUCGCAUUAUAACGAUGACACAUUCGUUAUUUAAACUUUUUUUAUAAUGAAUACUCUAAACGAAAGUAUUGUUAUGGAGCUGGUACGUGACUAACAACGAUAACAUUAUAAAAAUAUUCAGCGAUUAUGGUGAAACUUUCAUAUUUCUGAAUAACAAGCGCUUGUAUAAAUAGCACGAAUAUGCGAUGUUUUUUAACAGUUUACUCUGGUAGCUGUUCGCAUCAGUUGGUGUUUCGGUACAAACGAACAUCACAAGCCUUUGUCCUUUUCGAUCCCACAUUACCCAAAAUUUCCGUUGAACAACACCUGUUGGUUGAGACUUUGUGCCAGCCUUUUGCGCAAGCACGGGUGACCACCUCAGAGGGGAGGAUUUUCCUCGUUGUGCAUGUGGAGUCGCCUAAAAAACGACUCCAUGUGUUCAAUGGGGUCUCUCUUACUCCCUGAAUCGAUAAACAAAAACCCAAUUAAACAAGCGCAAACAAAACUCUUAACAACAUAAAAUCUAUUGAAAAAAAAUCCUCAUUGAACAUUGUAACCAUUGAAUUAGUACUCUAAGAAUGCUUCCCCACGGUUAAUAUCCGUUGGGAUGGUUUGAUGAGUGCUCCCUUUGACAAUGCGUGAAUAUCCUGAGUACUGAUUUUUCCUAUAUCCACCAGGCUUCAUCCUUAACCAUCAAGCUUUUCUAUGGAGUACUUGCAGGACUUCAAUAGAGUCGUUAUUUUAUUUUAGGUUAUGAAAUACCAAUAACUUAUUGAUGAAGCAUGUCAAAGGCAUUGUUGUAUUGUGCUCAAAAACUAAACAAUCAACAAAACAAUUUUUCUACUUAACUAUCUCCAUCACAUUGCACAGAAGAACGAUAAUAUAUCCUUCGACAUCAGGAAUUCAAACAUCGUGCUCUUCACGUUCACGUAUAAGAUCUUUACCAUUAAAUCUAUUUAAUGUGUUACUCGGUACAAGGUAGUUACUAUGUCAGUGAUUGUUUUGAGGAUUUUCAAUAGAUUUUGAUAUAUGUAUAACAAAUAAAAAAUAUCAAAAGAUAUAAA